rnacentral:rRNA from 1 species
UACGUAGGGGGCAAGCGUUGUCCGGAUUUAUUGGGCGUAAAGAGCGUGUAGGCGGCCAGGUAGGUCCGUUGUGAAAACUCGAGGCUCAACCUCGAGACGUCGAUGGAAACCAUCUGGCUAGAGUCCGGAAGAGGAGAGUGGGAAUUCCUGGUGUAGCGGUGAAAUGCGCAGAUAUCAGGAAGAACACCCGUGGCGAAGGCGGCUCUCUGGGACGGUACUGACGCUGAGACGCGAAAGCGUGGGGAGCAAACAGG